GUUAGCGGCGGACGGGUGAGUAACACGUGGAUAACCUACCUAUAAGACUGGGAUAACUUCGGGAAACCGGAGCUAAUACCGGAUAAUAUAUUGAACCGCAUGGUUCAAUAGUGAAAGACGGUUUUGCUGUCACUUAUAGAUGGAUCCGCGCCGCAUUAGCUAGUUGGUAAGGUAACGGCUUACCAAGGCAACGAUGCGUAGCCGACCUGAGAGGGUGAUCGGCCACACUGGAACUGAGACACGGUCCAGACUCCUACGGGAGGCAGCAGUAGGGAAUCUUCCGCAAUGGGCGAAAGCCUGACGGAGCAACGGCGCGUGAGUGAUGAAGGUCUUCGGAUCGUAAAACUCUGUUAUUAGGGAAGAACACAUGGGUAAGUAAC
rnacentral:rRNA from 1 species